UUCGUUAGAACUCUACCCAUGGCUUCACCGCAACGGUGAACGCACAGGAGACUCGCCACGCCGGCAGCGACCUCCGCAGGCAGACAUUCAACUGCCAGGCCUCGCCACGAGGCCAACGGGACAUAACAGUCAAC
rnacentral:ncRNA from 1 species